rnacentral:lncRNA from 1 species
UUACCAUAGGGACCUAAAGCCUGAAAAUAUACUGUUAGAUGAAGAUGGGAAUGUUAAAGUUUCUGACUUUGGCCUUAGUGCUAUUUCAGAGCAGAUAAAGCAAGAUGGUUUGUUUCAUACCUUUUGUGGUACCCCGGCUUAUGUGGCGCCAGAGGUGUUAGCCAUUUCAGAGCAGAUAAAGCAAGAUGGGCUGUUUCAUACUUUUUGUGGUACCCCGGCUUAUGUGGCGCCGGAGGUGUUAGCAAGAAAGGGUUAUGAUGCAGCCAAAGUUGACAUUUGGUCAUGUGGGGUGAUACUCUUUGUGCUAAUGGCAGGGUAUUUGCCUUUUCAUGAUCAGAAUAUUAUGGCUAU